UCCUGUAAUGGCUCAGUUGGUUAGAGCAUGGUGCUGAUAACACCAAGGUUGUAGGUUCGAUCCCUGUAUGGGAC
rnacentral:tRNA from 1 species